rnacentral:rRNA from 1 species
GUCUUUUUGAUUAUAAUUUAAAGUCUGACCUGCCCAAUGAGUAGUUGAAUGGCCGCGGUAAUUUGACCGUGCAAAGGUAGCAUAAUCAUUAGUUUUUUAAUUGGAAGCUGGAAUGAAUGGUUGGACGAGAAAAUAACUGUCUCAAUUUAAUUGAAUGUAGAAUUUUAUCUAUAAGUAAAAAAGCUUAUAUAAUUUUAAAAGACGAGAAGACCCUAUAGAGUUUAAUAUUUUAUUAUAUUUAUUAAGUUUAGGAUAAUUAUGUUUUUUAUAUAAUAAAGUAUUUUGCUGGGGCAGCAGAAAGAUUUAAUUAACUUUUUUUAAUUAAAUUACAUUGAUUUAUGAGUUAUUGAUCCAUUUUUUAUGAUUAUAAGAUUAAAUUACCUUAGGGAUAACAGCGUAAUUUUUUUUUAGAGUUCUUAUCGAAAAAAGAGUUUGCGACCUCGAUGUUGGAUUAAAAUUAACUUUUGGUGUAGGAGCUAAAAGGUUAGGUCUGUUCGACCUUUAAAAUUUUACA